rnacentral:lncRNA from 1 species
UGAGUUAGAGUAAACUGUCAAGACUUAAAACUUACUUACUUUACCUCCACCAUGGGACUUGUAACUGUCACUUCUGUCUUGAGUGGUUAAAAGAUAGAACGGUCUAGCCAAGUGCCAUGUCUCUUAUUCUUGAUCAGCUAUAGCUCUGGGGUUUUUGUAGAUUUUCAAAUAAAACUCAGAGAUUCCUUGUAUGAUUCUCUCAGGUCUCUCUUUUGUGGUAUUUCUGGAUCCUUACCAAGGCAUUGAUGGUAUAUGCCUUCUCUCAAGAUAUGUGGUAUUUGUGGUAUGAGGCAUAGUGAUAUUGCCUUCUCUCUCACCCUACUCUACUAAGGCUUUAAUAUCUGGAGCUCAUAGGUGGGAGAUAAAGUAUACAUACUUAUAAGACAUUUAUUGCGUAGUCAAACCAUGGAUCCAAAGUAACAAGUCAAUAAGUUUAAUCAAGAUGUGCAUGUGUGGCGAAUGAAUGGUAUAUGGUGAUGAUGGUGAUAACAAUGGUGAAAACAAUGGAGGUGGAAGUCUAAUUCUACUUUGCUCUUUUGAGGGGAUACAUACCUUCCUUGCGUUUGAAACUUUAUGAGGAGAAUGAGAUGCUCUUCUUUUUUCUUUUCUCUCAGGUGGGUAUCUUGCACCCCUAAUUCUACUGUCGGACACUUGUCCAUUUUUACCUCUCGUCUCACUUUUUUUUUUCUUUCGAGGUUCCGAGCACUUGCUCCUUUUUAUUUCCUCGUAUUAUUUCUUCUCUUUUUUUAGAGCAUUCAUCUAUUGAGAUAAUAUAGCAAGUGGUAGUAACAAGAUAACUUGAGCAUUUAUUUCACAAGGGGAAAACAGAAAUAUUUUUGGUUAUUCUCUCCCGGAUUAGGAGUAGAAUAUUUUCAGGUGAUUCUGGAGAUGGAAUGGGUGGAUAUAUGUGGAUGGUACUUCCGGAGUAGAAGUAGCAUAUAUGAGUGAACGUGCAAGUGAAAUCUUGAUUUAACCACAUGACAAGCUCCUAAGGGUCUACACAGCUUGACCACACUCAAUGCUCAUAAGCAGUAAAUAAUAAAUGUGUGGCUCAAAGUCUAGCAAGCAUGUAUAUACGGCUGUGGUAGGAAUUUUUAAGCUCUCAUCAUACAGGAACUCAUCAUGCAACAUUUUAAAGAUUUUCAAAGAUAAAAUUCUCCAGAAUUCUAGCAUCUCUAGGAACAGAUAAACAGCAGCUCAACCUUCCCAUAUCGUAUCCGUUAACAACUUAGACUUCAGAUCAAGUUUUCAUCCCACAAGUUUAGGUCUAGAGCAAGCUUUAAAUUAUAACAGUUAUGUCUAGACUUG